rnacentral:snRNA from 1 species
CACAGAGCAGCGUCCACCUCCCGCUCUU